AACGUAGGGGACAAGCGUUAUCCGGAUUUACUGGGCGUAAAGCGCCCGUAGGCGGCCUGACAAGUUGGACGUGAAAGCUCCUGGCUUAACUGGGAGAGGCCGUUCAAAACUGUCAAGCUAGAGUCUGGAAGAGGAGAGCGGAAUUCCCGGUGUAGUGGUGGAAUGCGUAGAGAUCGGGAGGAACACCAGUGGCGAAAGCGGCUCUCUGGGCCGUAACUGACGCUGAGGAGCGAAAGCGUGGGGAGCGAACAGG
rnacentral:rRNA from 1 species